ensembl:lncRNA novel transcript
ACUGCCUGAGCUGGAGAAGCCCACUUAUAAGGAACGUUGUCAUGUGUCUCCAGGGGAGCCAGGACCGUCCGUGGGGUUGGCUGGCCCUUCACAAUGUGACCCCACUUCCAUGGGCUCCCUCUUUCCUCCUGCACAGCCCUGGGGUGCAGGGCUCCCUCUGGAAGGCAACAGCUUCCAGCGACUCAAAGGCCUGCAGGGUCGUGUGAUCCCAGCAUCACAGGUCUACCCAUAGAACCAGCAAUUUUAUCAGUAGUAUUAAUUAUCCUCUGCAAAAAGAGACACUGAAAACAAAGUUCCCUUUCUCAAAGAACUCUGAUGAGAAAUUAAAAAAUAUAUUUGACCUUGGAGGAUUCGUUGUUUUGGAAGCCACAGAGACCUGCCUCAUGCAACUCAAAAGAAGGAUUACAUCUGUGAUGUGUGGGACGGGCACGAGGGGCCUCUACAACCAAUCUACCCUGUGUCUUGACUUCUCUGAGAGUUGCAUUGGGUUCAACAGUGAUUCCAUUUCCUCCCAAAGGGCCACUGGGAGAUAAGCAGCAUCGAGCUUAUAUCCAAAAAGCUCUAUGUAGUUUCAAGGUGUUUCCAAAGCACCUCCUCUGAUCCUCAUACCCUCCAGGGUGGCAGGCAACACAGGGCAUUUGCGUUUGCUCUGAGAUGAAGAUACGACCAUAGGGUUGUACCCAGAAGUUCUCAUGACUGGACAUCCAGCUCUUUGCACCACACUCCGAAGGGAGAAGUGAUCCAGGUUGCCCUUCUGAGAGUGAAUAUCACUUCCAGCACAAGCGGCAGCCUGCAUCCCAGCCAGCCCUGCUGAUGCCUCCAAGGAUGUGAGUGAGAGUUGCCCACAUCAUGGGAACCCUUUGCUGGUCUGCAAAAUAUCCCAGAGGUUGUUCCUUUGAACCCUGUGUGGGGAGAGCUUUGACUUAAAUGUGUCAUGCAUAGAAUGAACCCCUGCAGGAGUGUGUCACCCCUUGGCUUCCCAGGAAGACCACCCGCUUUUCUGACACUGUCCCUGGAAUGACCAAUUGUGGCCUUUUUACAAACUCUUCAGGCUCGAGAAGUGCACAUCCUCAUUUACAAGGGACAUGUGGAAAGUCUUGAAAUUGGAUCCGAAAAGUGUGGUUUCUCCAAGAACUAAAGCUCCCGAAGCAGUUUUGAGAAGAGAGGGACAUAGGCUAGCAUGGAUUCUUUUCCUUUGCUCUUAGGAUGUGUGUGAUCCCGAAGAGUUUGCCGGCAGGCUAUGGGAACUCCAUCCCCACACACUCAGCCACUACCUCAGGUGGCAGGGGCCCUGGCUAGGGUUUGGCUGUAAUAUUCAGGACUGACUGAGCAUCCUGCACAGUGGUGAAGGGAGGGGUCCUCUGGAGACCAUGCCUCUCCUACAGUAAGCCCCACCCCCAGGUGGGAGGGAUGUGCCAGUGCCUUCUCACCCCCACGUGCCUGCAUGUUGCCCUUCGUUCUGCUGUUUCCUAAUCACACCUGCUCUCAGGAACAGGUGCAACACAGUCCCACUAGGUGCAUAGCUACUCACACUGUGACACGGACACUCCCAGGAACACCAGCCCCAUAAAGCCUCGGAGGAGAGGGCUAGAAUUCUAGGCAACCUUGAGCUAGGGAGGGCUCCUUUGAACUGGGAGAUUCUCAAUGUCUUUGGCGUCUUAUUCUUAUCAAAAGUCCCUCUGCAGAAGCCUCGUCUUGGGGAUUGGCCAGAGGGAAAAGUUUAUGGCAGCACUUGCAUCAAAAGACACCAGAGCAUCACAUCAACCAACGACCAACUGUAAUGAUUUCACUUUUAUCAGUAUACACAUGAUUAGAAAUUUUGGAAACUGGACCACUAUUCUGUUCUACUAACCAAACACUCAAUACCAUGAAUCAUGUGAGAGGACUGUUGCCCAUGUUAGGUUAUGUGACCUUUUUCUUUUGGCUGGGGAUGGCAUACUUCAUUGAUGGUGCAUGACAAGCUGGAGCUGCCUAAGCCCCUGUCCUUCCUCCAGGAGUCUGGAAUGGAAACUGACUUUGGGGAGCCUGAGUGGGGCAAUGACUCCCCAGCAGCUGGGGGUUCACUCUUCCUCUCAUGCUCUUGAUGGAGCUGGUGGUCUGGGGGUCUUACUCCUUGGAGGCCGUGUGGACCAUAAGGUCCACCACCCUGUUGCUGCUGCCAAAUUCAUCCCAGGAAAGGAGCCUGACAAAGUGGCCAUUGAAGGUAAUGCCAGUCGUGGCAUUGAAGGUAGAAGAGUGCAGGUGCCACUCUUAAAGUCAGAGGAGACAACUUGGUCCUCAGUGUAGAUCAGAAUGCCCUUGAGGGGGCCCUCCGAUACCUGCUUCAGCAUCUUCUCAUGCCAUCAUAUUUGGCAGCUUUCUGCAGAUGGCAGAUGAGAGCCACAACCAACAUAUUAUGGGUGGGAACACAGAAGGCCAUACCUGUGAGCCUCUUAUCUGGCUCAGGGAUGACCUUGCCCAUAGCCUCGGCCACACUAGUAGAUACAGGGAUGAUGUUCUGCAGCAGUCACGCCAAAGUUUCUCCAACAGUCUUCUGGGUGGCAGUAGUGGCAUGGACUGUAGUCAUAGAUGACCUUGGCCAAGGGUGCCAAACGUUGAUAGUGCAGGAGGCACUGCUGACAAUCUCGAGAAGAUAAUUCAUACUUCUCAUGGUUCACACCCACCACAAACAUGGAUCUGCACAAGAGCACAAGGGGCAAAGAUGACGACAGUUUUGGCUACUUCAAGUGAGCCCCAGUCUUCUCCGUAGUGCUGAAGACGCCAGUGGGCUCUGCACCAUAUUCAGCACCAGUGUUGCCUCAUUUGAUGUUGGCGAGAUCUUGCUCUUGGAGGAUGGAGAUGGGCUUCCCUUUGAUUACAAGCUUCCUGUUCUCUUUCCUUGACUGUGCCAUUGGACUUGUCAUGAAAUAUACUGGAACAUGUAGACCAUGGAGUUGAGGCCAGUGAAGAGAUCAUUGAUGAUGACAGUGUCCAUUUUGCCGAGUUGAAAGCUGCCCUGGUGACCAGGUAUCCAAUAUGGCCAAAUCCAUUGACUCAGACUCUCACCAUUGUAUCCUGGAUGAGGCUGACACUGCAUGAGCAGAUGGAGCUGUUUGUCGAACGAGGAAGAGAAGAGAGCCACAGCUUUUUUCUUUUAAAAACAGACUUCAUUUUCUGAGCAGUUCUAGAUUCACAGAAAAAUUGAGCAGAGUACAGAGAUAUCCCAGGUACCUUCCCCCCUACACAUGCACAGCUCCCCUCAUUAUCAACAUCCCCCACCAGACUGGCAUGUUUGUUUCAAUUAAUGAACCAACAUUGACACAUCUCUAUCACCCAGAGUCCAUGGUUUACCUUAGGGUUCACUCUCUGUGUUGGACAUUUUAUGGGUUUUGACAAAUGCAUUAUGACAUGCAUCCAUCAUUAUAAUAUCAGAGUAGUCUCACUGCCCUACAAAUCCUCUGUACCCUACCAGUUCAUCCCUUCCUCCCGCUCCCCCCUUGGCAACCACUGAUCUUGUUAUACUCUUCAUAGUUUCACCUUUUCCAGAAUGUCAUACAGUUGGAAUCAUACAGUAUGCAGCCUUCUCAGAUUGGCUUCUUUCACUCAGUAAUAUGCAUUUAAGUUUCCCCCAUGCCUUUUCAUGGCUUCGCAGCUCAAUUCUCUUUGGCGCUAAGUAAUACGCCAUUGUCUGCAUGUACCCCAGUUUAUCCCCUCACCUACUGAAGGAUAUCUUGGUUGUUUCCAACUUUUAGCAAAUACGGAUAAAGUGGCUCUAAACA